rnacentral:lncRNA from 1 species
AUGGCACAGGGGUUCCCUCCUGGGCAUCUCAGGCCUCUGGUGGGCGAGGCGAGAGCGCUUCCUGGAGGGCAGGGUCCAGCAUUUGUGACAUGGCAUUUGGCAAACGUUCCCAGCGCCCUGAAAGUGCCCAAUAGGACCAAGGACAGCGCAGGGGAAGGUACCUGCUUACUUAAGGUAUGGCUGUCUGGGAGGGGCUUCGGAUGUAUGCCCCACUCAAAGGGAAGACCCCGCGAGCCCUGGGACUGCUUGGCAAGGAAAGGCGCCCAGUUCCCGGCUGCUUUGCCCAGGCUGCCUAAGACCCUGCCUGGGCACCACGCCUUAGGAAAUCUGUGCUCCGUUUUGCAUGCACCUUCCUUGGGGUGGGUGGGUGCCCGCCCUGCAAAUGGCCACCUGGGGAAUUGGGAGGAGGGGCAAGACAUGACUCUUGGGAGGUGUCCAGCGGUGCCACUGAUCUUUAGGCAUUGGUUCCUUCGCCCCAGAGACAAGAGAGAGAGAGAGAAAGCGGGGUGCAGAAAAAGCCGCGUGAUUGUCUGCAAACGUUCGGGCCCAGGUGGGGUCGCCAGGUGUUGGGGGGCUGGGGUGUUGUCAGUAUUAAACUUCGGGUCUUCUGGGAAAGGGCCCCGGGGCCAGUUUGCACGCAGCCGAGCCAGAUGGCAGGCGGGGAAGCGUUUGGAGCGAGAGAGAGAGAGAUUCAACGUCUGGCUUCUUUCGCCUUCCUCCGUGGCUGCUGCCUCCUACACACCUGUAGGGAGGGGGUGUGUGUCUCACAACGGACCACACUGCCAAGACAGGCCCGCCAGCCCGGUUAAGGCUGCCCAGCGGUUCGGAUUAGGGAAAGGGAGUGGGGGCGGGGCGGCUCUUUUCAGAGGGCGCCUCCUUGCUCGGUUACUCUCUCUUUUGCGCGGCCUCGUCGAGGUGGCAAGCUUCCCACGCAGCACCCCCACACACACCCCGAAAAGAGGAGAGGAGUCCAGAAAAAGUCUGCUUUGGGCUUUGGGCUGUUUUAUUCCUAACGCAGACUGUGAAAGAAAAAAGAGAGGGAGUUAA